rnacentral:rRNA from 1 species
GCGUGAGGGAUGACGGCCUUCGGGUUGUAAACCUCUUUCAGUAGGGAAGAAGCGAAAGUGACGGUACCUGCAGAAGAAGCGCCGGCUAACUACGUGCCAGCAGCCGCGGUAAUACGUAGGGCGCAAGCGUUAUCCGGAAUUAUUGGGCGUAAAGAGCUCGUAGGCGGUUUGUCGCGUCUGCCGUGAAAGUCCGGGGCUCAACUCCGGAUCUGCGGUGGGUACGGGCAGACUAGAGUGAUGUAGGGGAGACUGGAAUUCCUGGUGUAGCGGUGAAAUGCGCAGAUAUCAGGAGGAACACCGAUGGCGAAGGCAGGUCUCUGGGCAUUAACUGACGCUGAGGAGCGAAAGCAUGGGGAGCGAACAGGAUUAGAUACCCUGGU